rnacentral:rRNA from 1 species
CCUACGGGAGGCAGCAGUGGGGAAUUUUGCGCAAUGGGGGAAUCCCUGACGCAGCAACGCCGCGUGAGUGAUGAAGGCCUUCGGGUCGUAAAGCUCUGUCAGAGGGAAAGAAGUGUAUUGUGGUUAAUACCCAUGGUACUUGACGGUACCCUCAAAGGAAGCACCGGCUAACUCCGUGCCAGCAGCCGCGGUAAU